AUGGCCGCCGCGACCGUGGACGGCGCCGCCGCCGUCGCCGCGCGGAGGUACUCGACGCAGCAGCAGCAGCAGCCGCAGCCGCAGCAGCACCACAACCAGCCCAAGCUUGGGACGACGCUCCACCUCCUCGCCGGCGGCGUCGCCGGCGCCGUCAGCAAGACCUGCACCGCGCCGCUCGCCCGCCUCACCAUCCUGUUUCAGGUUCAAGGAAUGCACUCAGAUGUGGCUACGAUGCGCAACACUAGUAUAUGGCGUGAAGCGUCCCGCAUUGUCUAUGAAGAAGGGCUACGAGCCUUCUGGAAAGGAAAUCUUGUAACUAUUGCACAUCGGUUACCUUACUCCUCGAUUAGUUUCUAUACAUACGAGAGAUAUAAGAAUUGGCUUCAGAUGAUACCUGGUCUCGACAGCAAUGGUGGAUUGGGUGCCGACGUUGGUGUCAGAAUGGUAGGCGGUGGCUUGUCUGGGAUAACUGCAGCUUCUUUGACAUAUCCACUGGACUUGGUACGGACACGUCUGGCUGCUCAGACGAACACAGCCUACUACAGGGGCAUAUCCCAUGCUCUUUUUGCGAUCUGCAGAGAUGAGGGUCCCAGGGGGUUGUACAAGGGUCUUGGUCCCACUUUACUUGGUGUAGGCCCCAGUAUAGCAAUAAGCUUCUCAGUUUAUGAAACUCUGCGUUCACAUUGGCUACUAGAGCGGCCAUGUGAUUCCCCUAUCUUUAUCAGUUUGGCUUGUGGAAGCCUUUCGGGAGUUGCGUCAUCAACUUUUACAUUUCCAUUGGAUCUUGUAAGACGCCGCAAGCAGUUGGAAGGUGCAGCUGGGAGGGCCAAUGUCUACAAGACAGGACUUGUUGGAACGUUUGGGCAUAUUAUUCAGACAGAAGGUUAUAGAGGAUUGUAUAGAGGGAUCUUGCCUGAGUACUGCAAAGUGGUUCCCAGCGUCGGCCUCAUUUUUAUGACAUACGAGACACUGAAGUCCAUGUUCACAGAAGGGGCAUCAGAUGAAUAG
rnacentral:rRNA from 1 species